rnacentral:rRNA from 1 species
GGGGGCUAGCGUUAUCCGGAUUUACUGGGCGUAAAGGGUGCGUAGGCGGUCUUUCAAGUCAGGAGUGAAAGGCUACGGCUCAACCGUAGUAAGCUCUUGAAACUGGGAGACUUGAGUGCAGGAGAGGAGAGUGGAAUUCCUAGUGUAGCGGUGAAAUGCGUAGAUAUUAGGAGGAACACCAGUUGCGAAGGCGGCUCUCUGGACUGUAACUGACGCUGAGGCACGAAAGCGUGGGGAGCAAACAGGAUUAGAUACCCUGGUAGUCCACGCUGUAAACGAUGAGUACUAGGUGUCGGGGGUUACCCCC